rnacentral:rRNA from 1 species
CCUACGGGAGACAGCAGUGAGGAAUAUUGGUCAAUGGGCGGAAGCCUGAACCAGCCAAGUCGCGUGAGGGAAUAAGGCCCUACGGGUCGUAAACCUCUUUUGCCGGGGAGCAAGGGCCGGGACGAGUCCCGGUCCGGAGAGUACCCGGAGAAAAAGCAUCGGCUAACCCCGUGCCAGCAGCCGCGGUAAUACGGAGGAUGCGAGCGUUAUCCGGAUUUAUUGGGUUUAAUGGGUGCGUAGGCGGGCUUUUAAGUCAGCGGUAAAAAUUCGGGGCUCAACCCCGUCCGGCCGUUGAAACUGGGGGCCUUGAGUGGGCGGGAGGAAGGCGGAAUGCGUGGUGUAGCGGUGAAAUGCAUAGAGAUCACGCAGAACCCCGAUUGCGAAGGCAGCCUUCCGGCGCCCUACUGACGUUGAGGCUCGAAGGCGUGGGGAGCAAACAGGAUUAGAUACCCCAGUAGUC